GCCUGGGUGGCUCAGUGGUUGAGCAUCUGCCUUCAGCCCAGGGCGUGAUCCUGGAGACCUGGGAUCGAGUCCCACAUCGGGCU
rnacentral:tRNA from 1 species